rnacentral:lncRNA from 1 species
AUGCGACGUCUGGGUGUGGAGGUGAUGAGACAGGGGUUCCGUGGCACUCCGGCUCUGCUCAGGGCAACCUGCGUAGGGGCCUCCGGGGCAAGGCCCGCUUUCUGUCAAAAUGGCAGCGCCCGGCGUGCACGGGUAUCUCUGAAGUUGGGGUUUAAGAUUCUUGCCCGUGAGAGCCAACGAGCCUGUCGUGCUUCUGAUUUUGAAACACCUGGGUCUGGGUUUCCCGGGCGAGCGGUGGAAAUUGUGUGCACUUUGGGAGGCCGAGACGGGCGGAUCACGAGGUCAGGAGAUUGAGACCAUCCUGGCUAACACCCUGAAACCCCGUCUCUACAAAAAAUACAAAAAACUAGCCGGGCGAGGUGGCGGACGCCUGUAGUCCCAGCUACUCCGGAGGCUGAAGCAGGAGAAUGGCGUAAACCCGGGAGGCGGAGCUUGCAGUGAGCCGAGAUCCGGCCACUGCACUCCAGCCUGGGCGACAGAGCGAGACUCCAUCUCAAAAAAAAAAAAAAAGAGAUUGUGUGAGUAUUGCAUCUGGUGGUUAUGGAUUGUGCUUGAACACUUUUGUAUAGUGGUGACCAUAUAUGGGUUAUGCUUGC